AACAAACGCUGGCGGCGUGCCUAAUACAUGCAAGUCGAACGGGGAAAGCUUUCGGGUGAGUACUAGUGGCGCACGGGUGAGUAACGCGUGGAUAAUCUGCCUUAGAGUGGGGGAUAACUAGUCGAAAGAUUAGCUAAUACCGCAUAAGACCACAAGAACUGCGGUUCAAGGGGUCAAAGGUUUUUCGCUCUAAGAUGAGUCCGCGUAAGAUUAGCUAGUUGGGGAGGUAAUGGCUCACCAAGGCGACGAUCUUUAACUGGUCUGAGAGGAUGAUCAGUCACACUGGAACUGAAACACGGCCCAGACUCCUACGGGAGGCAGCAGUAGGGAUUAUUGCACAAUGGAGGAAACUCUGAUGCAGCGACGCCGCGUGAGUGAUGAAGGCCUUCGGGUCGUAAAGCUCUGUCGCAAGGGAAUAACACAAUGAAUGUACCUUGCAAGAAAGGAUCGGCUAACUUCGUGCCAGCCGCCGCCGUAAUAC
rnacentral:rRNA from 1 species